rnacentral:rRNA from 1 species
GGUUAAGCGACUAAGCGUACACGGUGGAUGCCCUGGCAGUCAGAGGCGAUGAAGGACGUGCUAAUCUGCGAUAAGCGUCGGUAAGGUGAUAUGAACCGUUAUAACCGGCGAUUUCCGAAUGGGGAAACCCAGUGUGAUUCGUCACACUAUCAUUAACUGAAUCCAUAGGUUAAUGAGGCGAACCGGGGGAACUGAAACAUCUAAGUACCCCGAGGAAAAGAAAUCAACCGAGAUUCCCCCAGUAGCGGCGAGCGAACGGGGAGCAGCCCAGAGCCUGAAUCAGUGUGUGUGUUAGUGGAAGCGUCUGGAAAGGCGCGCGAUACAGGGUGACAGCCCCGUACACAAAAAUGCACAUGCUGUGAGCUCGAUGAGUAGGGCGGGACACGUGGUAUCCUGUCUGAAUAUGGGGGGACCAUCCUCCAAGGCUAAAUACUCCUGACUGACCGAUAGUGAACCAGUACCGUGAGGGAAAGGCGAAAAGAACCCCGGCGAGGGGAGUGAAAAAGAACCUGAAACCGUGUACGUACAAGCAGUGGGAGCACGCUUAGGCGUGUGACUGCGUACCUUUUGUAUAAUGGGUCAGCGACUUAUAUUCUGUAGCAAGGUUAACCGAAUAGGGGAGCCGAAGGGAAACCGAGUCUUAACUGGGCGUUAAGUUGCAGGGUAUAGACCCGAAACCCGGUGAUCUAGCCAUGGGCAGGUUGAAGGUUGGGUAACACUAACUGGAGGACCGAACCGACUAAUGUUGAAAAAUUAGCGGAUGACUUGUGGCUGGGGGUGAAAGGCCAAUCAAACCGGGAGAUAGCUGGUUCUCCCCGAAAGCUAUUUAGGUAGUGCCUCGUGAAUUCAUCUCCGGGGGUAGAGCACUGUUUCGGCAAGGGGGUCAUCCCGACUUACCAACCCGAUGCAAACUGCGAAUACCGGAGAAUGUUAUCACGGGAGACACACGGCGGGUGCUAACGUCCGUCGUGAAGAGGGAAACAACCCAGACCGCCAGCUAAGGUCCCAAAGUCAUGGUUAAGUGGGAAACGAUGUGGGAAGGCCCAGACAGCCAGGAUGUUGGCUUAGAAGCAGCCAUCAUUUAAAGAAAGCGUAAUAGCUCACUGGUCGAGUCGGCCUGCGCGGAAGAUGUAACGGGGCUAAACCAUGCACCGAAGCUGCGGCAGCGACGCUUAUGCGUUGUUGGGUAGGGGAGCGUUCUGUAAGCCUGCGAAGGUGUGCUGUGAGGCAUGCUGGAGG